CACGUAGGGUGCGAGCGUUGUCCGGAAUUAUUGGGCGUAAAGAGCUCGUAGGCGGUGUGUCGCGUCGGCCGUGAAAACCUGCAGCUUAACUGUGGGCUUGCGGUCGAUACGGGCAUCACUGGAGUUCGGCAGGGGAGACUGGAAUUCCUGGUGUAGCGGUGAGAUGCGCAGAUAUCAGGAGGAACACCGGUGGCGAAGGCGGGUCUCUGGGCCGAUACUGACGCUGAGGUGCGAAAGCGUGGGGAGCAAACAGG
rnacentral:rRNA from 1 species